GUGACUCUCCUAGUAGAGAGGAAGUGUAAUAUUGACGUUUGUGACAGUGACAACAGCACAGCCUUGAUUAAGGCCUCACAAUGCCAGAAGGAGGAAUGUGCAAUUAUUCUACUCAAACAUGGUGCUAACCCAAAUAUUAAAGACUCCAGUGGCAACAGCGCUCUCCACCAUGCCAUCAUUGUGGGGAACACCUCAAUAACGGCUGCACUGCUGGCACACAGUGCAAAUACUGAUGAAAAAACCAAGGAUGGUCUCACACCAUUUAUGCUUGCUCUGAAGGAAAAUCAGCAGG